rnacentral:rRNA from 1 species
UACGUACCGUCCAAACGUUAUUCGGAUUUACUGGGCUUAAAGGGUGCGUAGGCGGCUCAGAAAGUAGGGUGUGAAAGCCCUCGGCUUAACCGAGGAAUUGCGCUCUAAACUACUGGGCUUGAGGAACGCAGAGGUAAGCGGAACUUACGGUGGAGCGGUGAAAUGCGUUGAUAUCGUAAGGAACACCAGGAGCGAAAGCGGCUUACUGGGCGUUUUCUGACGCUGAGGCACGAAAGCUAGGGGAGCGAACGGG